rnacentral:rRNA from 1 species
AUUGAACGCUGGCGGCAUGCCUUACACAUGCAAGUCGAAUGGUAACGGGGGCUUCGGCCUGCCGACGAGUGGCGGACGGGUGAGUAACACAUCGGAAUCUGUCUUAGAGUGGGGGACAACCCGGGGAAACUCGGGCUAAUACCGCAUAGACUCUUAGGAGUAAAGCUGGGGACUGCAAGGCCUAGCGCUCUAGGAGGAGCCGACGCCCGAUUAGCUGGUUGGUGGGGUAACGGCCUACCAAGGCGACGAUCGGUAGCUGGUCUGAGAGGACGGCCAGCCACACGGGGACUGAGACACGGCCCCGACUCCUACGGGAGGCAGCAGUGGGGAAUCUUGGACAAUGGGGGCAACCCUGAUCCAGCAAUGCCGCGUGGGUGAAGAAGGCCUUUGGGUUGUAAAGCCCUUUCGGCAGGGAAGAAGGCGUUGAUUUUGAAUUAGAGGUUGACGUUUGACGGUACCUGUAGAAGAAGCACCGGCUAACUACGUGCCAGCAGCCGCGGUAAUACGUAGGGUGCGAGCGUUGAUCGGAAUGACUGGGCGUUAAAGGGUGCGCAGGCGGUCUUACAAGUCUGAUGUGAAAGCCCCGGGCUUAACCUGGGAAUGGCAUUGGAAACUGUAGGGUUAGAGUGUGGCAGAGGAAGGUAGAAUUCCUGGUGUAGCGGUGAAAUGCGUAGAUAUCAGGAGGAAUACCGAUGGCGAAGGCAGCCUUCUGGGCCACGACUGACGCUCAUGCACGAAAGCGUGGGGGGCAAACAGGAUUAGAUACCCUGGUAGUCCACGCCCUAAACGAUGUCGACCAGCCAUCAGGUGAGGAAUCGCUUGGUGGCGCCGUUAACGCACGAGUCGACCGCCUGGGGAGUACGGCCGCAAGGUUAAAACCCAAAGGAAUUGACGGGGGCCCGCACAAGCGGUGGAGCAUGUGGUUUAAUUCGAUGCAACGCGAAGAACCUUACCGACGCUUGACAUGUGAGGAACCCUAGGGAGACCUGGGGGUGCCCGUAAGGGAGCCUCAACACAGGUGCUGCAUGGCUGUCGUCAGCUCGUGUCGUGAGAUGUUGGGUUAAGUCCCGCAACGAGCGCAACCCUUGCCUUUAGUUGCCAGCGGGUUAUGCCGGGCACUCUAGAGGGACUGCCGGUGACAAACCGGAGGAAGGCGGGGAUGACGUCAAGUCCUCAUGGCCCUUAUGCGUCGGGCUACACACAUGCUACAAUGGCCGGUACAGAGGGAAGCCAAGGAGCGAUCUGGAGCCAAUCCCAGAAAGCCGGUCGUAGUCCGGAUUGCAGUCUGCAACUCGACUGCAUGAAGUCGGAAUCGCUAGUAAUCGUGGAUCAGCUACGCCACGGUGGAUACGUUCCCGGGCCUUGUACACACCGCCCGUCACACCAUGGGAGUGGAGGAUACCCUAAGCAGGUUGCCUAACCGCAAGGAGGGCGCUUAUCACGGUAUGCUUCAUGACUGGGGUG